rnacentral:rRNA from 1 species
GUGGGGAAUAUUGGACAAUGGGGGCAACCCUGAUCCAGCCAUGCCGCGUGAGUGAAGAAGGCCUUAGGGUUGUAAAGCUCUUUCACCCGUGAAGAUGAUGACGGUAGCGGGAGAAGAAGCCCCGGCUAACUCCGUGCCAGCAGCCGCGGUAAUACGGAGGGGGCAAGCGUUGUUCGGAAUUACUGGGCGUAAAGGGCACGUAGGCGGCCUUGUAUGUCAGGCGUGAAAGCCCCGGGCUUAACCUGGGAGGUGCGUUUGAAACUGCAUGGCUUGAGGACGGAAGAGGAGAGCGGAAUUCCCAGUGUAGAGGUGAAAUUCGUAGAUAUUGGGAAGAACACCGGUGGCGAAGGCGGCUCUCUGGUCCGGAUCUGACGCUGAGGUGCGAAAGCGUGGGGAGCAAACAGG